AGUGAACGCUGGCGGUAGGCCUAACACAUGCAAGUCGAACGAGUGGCGGACGGGUGAGGAAUCCAUCGGAAUCUACUCUGUCGUGGGGGAUAACGUCGGGAAACUUUCGCUAAUACCGCAUACCAUUCAAUGAGCCGAUGUGGGAUUAGCUAGUUGGCGGGGUAAUGGCCCACCAAGGCGACGAUCCGUAGCUGGUCUGAGAGGAUGAUCAGCCACACUGGAACUGAGACACGGUCCAGACUCCUACGGGAGGCAGCAGUGGGGAAUAUUGGACAAUGGGCGCAAGCCGGAUCCAGCCAUACCGCGUGGGUGAAGAAGGCCUUCGGGUUGUAAAGCCCUUUUGGUGGGAAAGCGGUACCCAAAGAAGAAGCACCGGCUAACUCCGUGCCAGCAGCCGCGGUAAUUC
rnacentral:rRNA from 1 species